rnacentral:rRNA from 1 species
AUGGCGACCACCGCCAGCGCCGACGCCUCCCCGGCCGCACAGGCGAAGCGCCGCGGCCGCCCCCCCAAGGCCCCGCUGGCGGCCGAGGCGGCGGAGGUCGAGGCGCCGAGGACCCCGUCGCCCGUGUCCCCGCUGACGGCCGCGGCGGAGGGCUACGAGCGGGAGCGGGAGGCGAGGAUCAAGGAGAACAUGGAGCGGAUGCAGAAGCUCGGCCUCGUCGACCUCGCCACCCGCUUCAACCAGUCCGCCACCCCCGCCGGCACCGGCACCGGUCGCGGCCGCUGGCGUCGGAGGCCGGAGACGCCGGGCUCCCCCGACGCCGCCGCUCCCAGGAUCAGGACCGCCUCCCCGAUGCCGGCACGCCGGUCUCUCAGGUUGAAGAGCGUGGAGCCAGUUAGAUAUGUUGAAAUUUGUGAAAAGAGGGAGAAGGGUCUUGAUGGUGGAAGGCAUUUCUCUAUUGAGGAAGGGUGCAAGGAAGAAGUUUACACUGAAGAGCAUGAGAAGCUUUUAGGUACAUGUGCCACACCCUGGACUCUCUUUGUGGACGGUUAUGGCAAGGAUGGGAAGCGCAUCUAUGAUCAAGUGAGGGGCCAAACCUGUCAUCAGUGCCGCCAGAAAACUCUGGGUCAUCAUACAAGAUGCUGUAAUUGCCAGAUUGUCCAAGGGCAGUUCUGUGGAGAUUGUUUGUACAUGAGGUAUGGUGAGAAUGUGCUGGAAGCUAAGAGCAAUCCUAAUUGGACAUGUCCAGUUUGCCGUGGCAUUUGCAAUUGCAGCAUCUGCAGAACUAAGAGAGGAUGGUUCCCUACUGGUAAUGCGUACCGGAAGGUUGUCAGGCUUGGGUACAAAUCUGUGGCACACUAUCUCAUUGCAACAAAUCGGGCAGGAGCAAACUCAGGGGAUUCAAGCUCAGCUGACUCCUCAAACGAGCUGCCAUCUGCUGAUGAGGUCUCUGAGCACGCACCAGUUGCCAAGCAGGAUGCUGAUCUGAGCAGCAACACGAUGAAUGAUGCUGGUGAAGUUGAGCAGAAGGAAGGAAGAAACAUGAAGAAGAAGGCAGCAGCUGUCAAGGAUGAAGCCAAGGCCCCGAGGAAGAAGAUCACUGCUGAUGUGGUCUGCAAGGAUGAUGGCAGGAGCGAGUCGGGGGUGACAUUUGAUAACCUGGAAUGUCACCAGGAUGUCGGCUGCGUCACUCCAUCUAAGCCGGAGUCGAAGAAGAAGAGGAAGUGGGUCGAAGCAAGAAGCCCUGACUGCGUCGCGAGCAGGCUGCGCUCCCGGUCUGCUCCCAAGUCAUGA